GGGAUUGCUUCAAGUAGUAAUUUAUACAGCUGCAUCAAGAUUAGAAUGCCAUGCCCUAUCUGGACCGACAACAGCAAAAUCUGAAAAGCAAACUGUGAAUGAAGCUUCAGGUGAUAUUCAAAAAGAUCCUUCACUCGAACCAGAACCAGAAUCUAGUCAAGAAGAUAAGUUAACCAAUGCUGAGUUAUCCACUGAAGAUGGGAACAGGAGCUUUAGUACAAGCAAUGUAUUCCUCCAUCUGCCAUCACCUGAUUUGCGCAAUCUGUGCUGCCUUCUUGGUCGUGAGGGGUUGU
rnacentral:misc_RNA from 1 species